CGCUGGCGGCGUGCCUAACACAUGCAAGUCGAACGGGACUGAUUGGAAAGCGGCUUCGGCCAAUGGAAGAUCAGUUUAGUGGCGAACGGGUGAGUAACACGUGAGGAACCUGCCUUUCAGUGGGGGACAACAGUUGGAAACGACUGCUAAUACCGCAUAACACUUUAGUACCGCAUGGUACAGAAGUCAAAGCUUUAUGUGCUGAGAGAUGGUCUCGCGUCUGAUUAGCUAGAUGGCGGGGUAACGGCCCACCAUGGCGACGAUCAGUAGCCGGUCUGAGAGGAUGAACGGCCACAUUGGGACUGAGACACGGCCCAGACUCCUACGGGAGGCAGCAGUGAGGAAUAUUGGGCAAUGGGCGCAAGCCUGACCCAGCAAUGCCGCGUGAAGGAUGAAGGUUUUCGGAUUGUAAACUUCUUUUGUCAAGGACGAUAAUGACGGUACUUGACGAAUAAGCCACGGCUAACUACGUG
rnacentral:rRNA from 1 species